UUUAUUGGAGAGUUUGAUCCUGGCUCAGGAUGAACGCUGGCGGCGUGCCUAAUACAUGCAAGUCGAGCGAAUGGAUUAAGAGCUUGCUCUUAUGAAGUUAGCGGCGGACGGGUGAGUAACACGUGGGUAACCUGCCCAUAAGACUGGGAUAACUCCGGGAAACCGGGGCUAAUACCGGAUAACAUUUUGAACCGCAUGGUUCGAAAUUGAAAGGCGGCUUCGGCUGUCACUUAUGGAUGGACCCGCGUCGCAUUAGCUAGUUGGUGAGGUAACGGCUCACCAAGGCAACGAUGCGUAGCCGACCUGAGAGGGUGAUCGGCCACACUGGGACUGAGACACGGCCCAGACUCC
rnacentral:rRNA from 1 species